rnacentral:piRNA from 1 species
UGCAUACUAAAUGUAACAGGGCCUUGUC